rnacentral:rRNA from 1 species
GGGUUGUGAGGUUAAGCGACUAAGCGUACACGGUGGAUGCCCUGGCAGUCAGAGGCGAUGAAGGACGUGCUAAUCUGCGAAAAGCGCCGGCGAGGUGAUAUGAACCCUUGACCCGGCGAUGUCCGAAUGGGGAAACCCAGUGUGAUUCGUCACACUAUCGUUAGCUGAAUACAUAGGCUAACGAGGCGAACCGGGGGAACUGAAACAUCUAAGUACCCCGAGGAAAAGAAAUCAACCGAGAUUCCCCAGUAGCGGCGAGCGAACGGGGAGCAGCCCGGAGUCUGAAUCAGCUUGUGUGUUAGUGGAAGCGUCUGGAAAGUCGCAGGGUACAGGGUGAUACUCCCGUACACGAAAGCACACAUGCUGUGAACUCGAAGAGUAGGGCGGGACACGUGGUAUCCUGUCUGAAUAUGGGGGGACCAUCCUCCAAGGCUAAAUACUCCUGACUGACCGAUAGUGAACCAGUACCGUGAGGGAAAGGCGAAAAGAACCCCGGCGAGGGAGUGAAAAAGAACCUGAAACCGUGUACGUACAAGCAGUGGGAGCAUCCUUCGGGGUGUGACUGCGUACCUUUUGUAUAAUGGGUCAGCGACUUAUAUUCUGUAGCAAGGUUAACCGUAUAGGGGAGCCGAAGGGAAACCGAGUCUUAACUGGGCGUUAAGUUGCAGGGUAUAGACCCGAAACCCGGUGAUCUAGCCAUGGGCAGGUUGAAGGUUGGGUAACACUAACUGGAGGACCGAACCGACUAAUGUUGAAAAAUUAGCGGAUGACCUGUGGCUGGGGGUGAAAGGCCAAUCAAACCGGGAGAUAGCUGGUUCUCCCGAAAGCUAUUUAGGUAGCGCCUCGUGAAUUCAUCUCCGGGGUAGAGCACUGUUUCGGCUAGGGGCCAUCCCGGCUUACCAACCCGAUGCAAACUGCGAAUACCGGAGAAUGUUAUCACGGGAGACACACGGCGGGUGCUAACGUCCGUCGUGAAGAGGGAAACAACCCAGACCGCCAGCUAAGGUCCCAAAGUCAUGGUUAAGUGGGAAACGAUGUGGGAAGGCACAGACAGCCAGGAUGUUGGCUUAGAAGCAGCCAUCAUUUAAAGAAAGCGUAAUAGCUCACUGGUCGAGUCGGCCUGCGCGGAAGAUGUAACGGGGCUAAACCAUGCACCGAAGCUGCGGCAGCGACACUAUGUGUUGUUGGGUAGGGGAGCGUUCUGUAAGCCUGCGAAGGUGUGCCGUGAGGCAUGCUGGAGGUAUCAGAAGUGCGAAUGCUGACAUAAGUAACGAUAAAGCGGGUGAAAAGCCCGCUCGCCGGAAGACCAAGGGUUCCUGUCCAACGUUAAUCGGGGCAGGGUGAGUCGACCCCUAAGGCGAGGCCGAAAGGCGUAGUCGAUGGGAAACAGGUUAAUAUUCCUGUACUCGGUGUUACUGCGAAGGGGGGACGGAGAAGGCUAUGUUGGCCGGGCGACGGUUGUCCCGGUUUAAGCAUGUAGGCGGAGGUUCCAGGUAAAUCCGGUACCUUGUUAACGCUGAGGUGUGAUGACGAGGCACUACGGUGCUGAAGCAACAAAUGCCCUGCUUCCAGGAAAAGCCUCUAAGCAUCAGGUAACAUCAAAUCGUACCCCAAACCGACACAGGUGGUCAGGUAGAGAAUACCAAGGCGCUUGAGAGAACUCGGGUGAAGGAACUAGGCAAAAUGGUGCCGUAACUUCGGGAGAAGGCACGCUGAUAUGUAGGUGAAGCCCCUGCGGGUGGAGCUGAAAUCAGUCGAAGAUACCAGCUGGCUGCAACUGUUUAUUAAAAACACAGCACUGUGCAAACACGAAAGUGGACGUAUACGGUGUGACGCCUGCCCGGUGCCGGAAGGUUAAUUGAUGGGGUUAGCUGUAAGGCGAAGCUCUUGAUCGAAGCCCCGGUAAACGGCGGCCGUAACUAUAACGGUCCUAAGGUAGCGAAAUUCCUUGUCGGGUAAGUUCCGACCUGCACGAAUGGCGUAAUGAUGGCCAGGCUGUCUCCACCCGAGACUCAGUGAAAUUGAAAUCGCUGUGAAGAUGCAGUGUACCCGCGGCAAGACGGAAAGACCCCGUGAACCUUUACUAUAGCUUGACACUGAACACUGGUCCUUGAUGUGUAGGAUAGGUGGGAGGCUUUGAAGUGUGGACGCCAGUCUGCAUGGAGCCGUCCUUGAAAUACCACCCUUUAAUGGCUGGUGUUCUAACGUGGACCCGUUACCCGGGUUGCGGACAGUGUCUGGUGGGUAGUUUGACUGGGGCGGUCUCCUCCUAAAGAGUAACGGAGGAGCACGAAGGUCAGCUAAUCCUGGUCGGACAUCAGGAGGUUAGUGCAAUGGCAUAAGCUGGCUUGACUGCGAGAGUGACGGCUCGAGCAGGUGCGAAAGCAGGUCAUAGUGAUCCGGUGGUUCUGAAUGGAAGGGCCAUCGCUCAACGGAUAAAAGGUACUCCGGGGAUAACAGGCUGAUACCGCCCAAGAGUUCAUAUCGACGGCGGUGUUUGGCACCUCGAUGUCGGCUCAUCACAUCCUGGGGCUGAAGUAGGUCCCAAGGGUAUGGCUGUUCGCCAUUUAAAGUGGUACGCGAGCUGGGUUUAGAACGUCGUGAGACAGUUCGGUCCCUAUCUGCCGUGGGCGCUGGAGAAUUGAGGGGGCUGCUCCUAGUACGAGAGGACCGGAGUGGACGCAUCACUGGUGUUCGGGUUGUCAUGCCAAUGGCACUGCCCGGUAGCUAAAUGCGGAAGAGAUAAGUGCUGAAAGCAUCUAAGCACGAAACUUGCCCCGAGAUGAGUUCUCCCUGACCCUUCGAGGGUCCUGAAGGAACGUUGAAGACGACGACGUUGAUAGGCCGGGUGUGUAAGCGCAGCGAUGCGUUGAGCUAACCGGUACUAAUGAACCGUGAGGCUUAACCUUACAACGCCGAAGCUGUU